rnacentral:rRNA from 1 species
UACGUAGGGGGCGAGCGUUGUCCGGAAUCAUUGGGCGUAAAGAGCGUGUAGGCGGCUUGGCAAGUCUGACGUGAAAGCCCGCGGCUCAACCGCGGAUUGUCGUUGGAAACUGCCUCGCUAGAGUCCGGAAGAGGAGAGUGGAAUUCCUGGUGUAGCGGUGAAAUGCGUAGAGAUGGGGGAGAACACUCGUGGCGAAGGCGGCCAGCUAGACCAGUUCUGACACUGAGGCGCGACAGCGUGGGGAGCAAACAGG